AGUAAAUGGGCCAGAGCAGCAAAAGGAGGCAAACUUUUGCGAGCUGUGUUACUAACCAAGCACAAAGCAUCCAAACAGGUUUUUUAAAAAAUCAAUAAAAGCAACAAGGAAGAUCUUUUCUUUCUCUUUUGGUCAGAUGUCAGGAGAUUUGGAAGUAAACAUUGUUUAGUUUUUUGUUUUGUUUUGUUUUUUGGGAGAAACAUCUGUUUAGUUUUUUUGGAGAAACAUGUUUGAGUACCAGCUUUCAGGCACUAGAUUAUUUGGAAGAGAAGCUGGUCACUUUGCCUACCUUCUCCGCACACACACAUGCACACACACAAACUUGGCAAUUGUGGUAACUGCUUUUCAGCCUUCACUGCUUGGUCUGUCAAACAGAAACAGAAUGUGUCCAUAUAGCAAAACAAUUGUCUGAACGCUUCAUUAUGUGGUCACCUUGGCUUUCAGCCCAUAAUAAAGCACAUGGGCAAAACAUUUGUGAGGACAGCAAUACAUCAUAACAUCAGUAUGAUGGGCAACAGUAUUGAAAUAGCACCAUUGUGAGUGCCACUAAGUAAAUCUGUAUGCCACUUGCGAGGGAACCCAGACUGGGAGAGGAUUACAGUAGGACACACACACCCCAUCUGCGGGGCAUUGGUUCCAGCCCCUGCCCCCCCAGAUGCUGAAAAUCUGCAGAUAACAGUGAGUGGAACACUAAACAUAGCAAGGUCUCUGGCUCCUCGUAGUGGCCAGUUCUGGUAAUGAUAUCAUGGAGAUAUGUAUUUCUGUGAUUUUUCUUUUAAUAUUUUAAUGUUUUCAAACUAUAAGUAAAAUCACAGAUAACUAUUGUGCAGAUAUGGGGGUCCUACUGUAUUGCCCUCAUGUCUGUGUAUGAGUUCCCAGAAACAUCUGGCUGAGCAUUCUGGGAAACAGCACACUGUUUUAGAUAGCUUUUGGUAUGGUCGAGUUCAGGUGUUCUUAUGUUAACUCCAGUGGCGUGAUGUGUUUUCUUAAUACAGGCAUCUUAGUGAUAACAUGCAUGCAAAGAAAGAUGUGUGGAUCUACUUCCACUAGUGAUGUGACUCAGCUGGAUUCCUUCAAAACCUCUGAGGUCCUGAGCCAGCCUCCUUCUCAUCAGAUACCACAUCAAAUGCAGCAGAAGGGGUUCUCGGUGAAGGUGGGGACAUGGUGGAGAAGGCUGUAGAGAUCAGCACAAAAAAUCAGUCCUAGCUGGAAAAGAAUUUUGUUUCAAGGUUUUAUUUACCAUGUGAAUGUGUCACUUUCCUAUCAUGCUCCUGAAUCAAGAAUGAAAUAACAAGUGCUCUUGAUGGGCUGACAAACUAUAAUUUGGUGUUUGAAGGUUCUUUUCUAAAAUAAUAAAAAUGGAAGAAGAAAAAAAGAGAAGUGGAAU
rnacentral:lncRNA from 1 species